rnacentral:rRNA from 1 species
GAUUGAACGCUGGCGGCAUGCUUCACACAUGCAAGUCGAACGGGCUGGGGGCAACUCCAGUCAGUGGCGAACGGGUGAGUAAUACAUCGGAACGUACCUCGUAGUGGGGGAUAACUCGGCGAAAGCCGUGCUAAUACCGCAUAUGCUCUACGGAGGAAAGCAGGGGACCGUAACAGGCCUUGUGCUAUGGGAGCGGCCGAUGUCCGAUUAGCUAGUUGGUGGGGAAUGGCCCACCAAGGCGACGAUCGGUAGCUGGUCUGAGAGGAUGAUCAGCCACACUGGGACUGAGACACGGCCCA